rnacentral:tRNA from 1 species
GGUUUGGUGGUUCAGUGAUAGAAUUCUUGCCUUCCAUGCAGGAGACCGAGGUUCGAUUCCUGGCCAGUACA